AUUGACAGCCGUCUGCACCGCUCCUUACUGCGCUGAGUUGCGUGGUGCCAUGCUCCAGGUGUAGGUAAUUUCUGAUUGCCCCUAAUUGGCAUGGGUCUCAAACAAAAGACAUGGCGUGUUGCUGUUCAUUCACUUCACGAGAGAGCAGCAACACGGCCGGUCGGCAAAAGUUUAAUGCCAAACAUUUGUAAUAUUAACAAAAUCCUAACAGCUUGGGGAAAAAAGGACUUCAGAAGGCUACCGGUUUUUCACCUGUACCUGUAAAUCCAAUCUGCACUGCAAACCCUGUUGAAACCCUGAUCCAUUGAAACUCACUUCAAAGAACAAUCCACCGAAAAUCAAUAAAACAAAACCAACGAGUGGAA